UUAUUUGAUUGUACCUUUCUACUUGGAUAACCGUAGUAAUUCUAGAGCUAAUACAUGCUAAAAAACCUGACUAGGGGCAACUUUGGAAGGGUUGUAUUUAUUAGAUACAGAACCAACGGCGGCGGGGCAACUCGUCGUGAAAACUUGGUGAUUCAUAAUAACUUUGCGAAUCGCAUGGCCUUGUGCCGGCGAUGAUUCAUUCAAAUUUCUGCCCUAUCAACUUUGACGGUAGGAUAGAGGCCUACCGUGGUGGUAACGGGUAACGGAGAAUUAGGGUUCUAUUUCGGAGAGGGAGCCUGAGAAACGGCUACCACUUCCAAGGAAGGCAGCAGGCGCGCAAAUUACCCAAUCCUGACACAGGGAGGUAGUGACAAUAAACAACAAUACAGGUCCCGAAAAGGGUCUUGUAAUUGGAAUGAGUACAAUUUAAACCCCUUAACGAGUAACAAUUAGAGGGCAAGUCUGGUGCCAGCAGCCGCGGUAAUUCCAGCUCUAAUAGCGUAUAUUAAAGUUGUUGCGGUUAAAAAGCUCGUAGUUGAAUCUUGGCGCGGUUGGGGUCGGUCCGCCCACUGGGUGUGCACUGGCUCGGCCGCGCUCUCCUGUCAGAUACGCGCCGGUGCACUUAACUGUGUGCCGGUUCAAGGCUUUGGCCGGCGUUCUGACUCGUUUACUUUGAGUAAAUUAGAGUGUUCAAAGCAGGCAAAAUUUUCAGCCACUGAAUACAUUAGCAUGGGAUAAUGGAAUAGGACUUUGGUUCUAUUUUGUUGGUUUCUAGGACCGAAGUAAUGAUUAAUAGGGACAGUUGGGGGCAUUAGUAUUUAAUUGUCAGAGGUGAAAUUCUUGAUUUGUUAAAGACUAACUACUGCGAAAGCAUUUGCCAAGGAUGUUUUCAUUAAUCAAGAACGAAAGUUAGGGGAUCGAAGACGAUCAGAUACCGUCGUAGUCUUAACCAUAAACUAUGCCGACCAAGAAUUGCGGGAUGUUACAUGGAUGACGCUCGCAGCGCUUUACGAGAAAUCACAAGUCUUUGGGUUCCGGGGGGAGUAUGGUCGCAAGGCUGAAACUUAAAGGAAUUGACGGAAGGGCACCACCAGGAGUGGAGCCUGCGGCUUAAUUUGACUCAACACGGGGAAACUCACCAGGUCCAGACAUAGAAGGAUUGACAGAUU
rnacentral:rRNA from 1 species